AGGACGAACGCUGGCGGCGUGCCUAACACAUGCAAGUCGAACGAGGUCCAAGGAAGCUUGCUUCCUGAAGAUCUAGUGGCGAACGGGUGAGUAACACGUGAGAAACCUGCCUCGGAGUGGGGAAUAACUCGGGGAAACUCGAGCUAAUACCGCAUACCUUCACAUGAUCGCAUGGUCGAGUGAAGAAAGAAUUUCGCUCUGAGAGGGUCUCGCGGCCUAUCAGCUUGUUGGUGGGGUAACGGCCUACCAAGGCAACGACGGGUAGCUGGUUUGAGAGAACGAUCAGCCACACUGGGACUGAGACACGGCCCAGACUCCUACGGGAGGCAGCAGUGGGGAAUCUUGCGCAAUGGGCGAAAGCCUGACGCAGCAACGCCGCGUGCGGGAUGACGGCCUUCGUGGUUGUAAACCGCUUUCAGCAGGGACGAAAAUGACGGUACCUGCAGAAGAAGCCCCGGCUAACUACGUG
rnacentral:rRNA from 1 species